AGCUGAAGAGUCCCAAAUAGGAUGAAAUACGUAUCCU
rnacentral:hammerhead_ribozyme from 1 species